rnacentral:rRNA from 1 species
AAACGACUCUCGGCAACGGAUAUCUCGGCUCUCGCAUCGAUGAAGAACGUAGCGAAAUGCGAUACUUGGUGUGAAUUGCAGAAUCCCGUGAACCAUCGAGUCUUUGAACGCAAGUUGCGCCCAAAGUCCUCGGGCUGAGGGCACGUCUGCCUGGG